rnacentral:rRNA from 1 species
GAGUGGCGGACGGGUGAGUAACACGUGGGUAACCUGCCCAGAAGCAGGGGAUAACACCUGGAAACAGAUGCUAAUACCGUAUAACAGAGAAAACCGCCUGGUUUUCUUUUAAAAGAUGGCUCUGCUAUCACUUCUGGAUGGACCCGCGGCGCAUUAGCUAGUUGGUGAGGUAACGGCUCACCAAGGCGAUGAUGCGUAGCCGACCUGAGAGGGUAAUCGGCCACAUUGGGACUGAGACACGGCCCAGACUCCUACGGGAGGCAGCAGUAGGGAAUCUUCCACAAUGGACGCAAGUCUGAUGGAGCAACGCCGCGUGAGUGAAGAAGGGUUUCGGCUCGUAAAGCUCUGUUGUUAAAGAAGAACGUGGGUGAGAGUAACUGUUCACCCAGUGACGGUAUUUAACCAGAAAGCCACGGCUAACUACGUGCCAGCAGCCGCGGUAAUACGUAGGUGGCAAGCGUUAUCCGGAUUUAUUGGGCGUAAAGCGAGCGCAGGCGGUCUUUUAAGUCUAAUGUGAAAGCCUUCGGCUCAACCGAAGAAGUGCAUUGGAAACUGGGAGACUUGAGUGCAGAAGAGGACAGUGGAACUCCAUGUGUAGCGGUGAAAUGCGUAGAUAUAUGGAAGAACACCAGUGGCGAAGGCGGCUGUCUGGUCUGUAACUGACGCUGAGGCUCGAAAGCAUGGGUAGCGAACAGGAUUAGAUACCCUGGUAGUCCAUGCCGUAAACGAUGAUUACUAAGUGUUGGAGGGUUUCCGCCCUUCAGUGCUGCAGCUAACGCAUUAAGUAAUCCGCCUGGGGAGUACGACCGCAAGGUUGAAACUCAAAAGAAUUGACGGGGGCCCGCACAAGCGGUGGAGCAUGUGGUUUAAUUCGAAGCUACGCGAAGAACCUUACCAGGUCUUGACAUCUUCUGCCAACCUAAGAGAUUAGGCGUUCCCUUCGGGGACAGAAUGACAGGUGGUGCAUGGUUGUCGUCAGCUCGUGUCGUGAGAUGUUGGGUUAAGUCCCGCAACGAGCGCAACCCUUAUUACUAGUUGCCAGCAUUCAGUUGGGCACUCUAGUGAGACUGCCGGUGACAAACCGGAGGAAGGUGGGGACGACGUCAAAUCAUCAUGCCCCUUAUGACCUGGGCUACACACGUGCUACAAUGGAUGGUACAACGAGUUGCGAAACCGCGAGGUUUAGCUAAUCUCUUAAAACCAUUCUCAGUUCGGACUGUAGGCUGCAACUCGCCUACACGAAGUCGGAAUCGCUAGUAAUCGCGGAUCAGCAUGCCGCGGUGAAUACGUUCCCGGGCCUUGUACACACCGCCCGUCACACCAUGAGAGUUUGUAACACCCAAAGCCGGUGGGGUAACCUUUUAGGA